UCUAGCUUGAAUUGGGUCAUUCAAACUAACUUUUAAAAGUGCAUUUGAAUCUAGUUUGAUAGUUGACUUGUUUGCAAGAGUGUGAUGAAACUUGUCAUGCCUAAUAUAGAUAAUUAUUACUAACAAUAAUUAUCAUUCCUGGCUUGAAUUAGUACAACAAAAUUCUAAUAUAUAUUAAAAAGAUUGGCAUGCCACGUGGCUGCCAGGGUCCACGUGGCUGCCAGGGUCCAUAAAGGAAAAGAAAAUUAUGAGGAAGUUGAUAUCUGAACCAUCAAUCCUGCCAUUACCGACGACAGUGGUUAGAUUUAGUCGAAUGUGGCAUUUGAUGUCGGAAUAAUAAUGAAAUGGUCAGAAAUAACCCUCAACUGUAUAACUGAUCAGUGUGUGUGACAAAGAGAAAAUACACUUCCAACUUCCAAGUACAAAUCCAGCUUCUUCGUCUUUUCAUUCUGUAAGUCUCACUUAUUCAAUACCCUCUUCAUUUCAACUCUAAAGUUUGCAUCUUUUUUCUUUUUCUACUUCAUUUUUUGUUACGCUACUUAGGCAUUAUUGGAAGUGCUGUGUUCAGCAAAAUUGGAUUUUUGUUGCUUUUAAUUUCAUUUUAGCUAUAAAUUUGAUAUCCCAAGUUUAGCUUAGUUCCCAUUCAAUCCCUGAAUCUGUAACUUUCAGUUCUUCGAAUUGUUUUUGUAGGACUUUAAGACUUAGAAAGUGCUUCAUAGUGAUGAAAAUUGGAACUUUAUUGCUUGUAAUUUGUUUCUCUGUGAUAAAUAUGUCAUCGUGUCUGAUAAUGACUCCAUUUUUGGAAUUUAAUUUUGCUUUCUGUUUAGUUUUUUUUGUUGAAAAUAUACUCACUACGACUCUCCCUUUUGGGUGACCUAGGGUUUCUCAAUUUCUUGGGAACUAAUGCAAGUUGAAAUUUUAUACUUUAUGUUUCCUUUUUCCUUUCAAAUUUCUCAGCUCAAUCAUUCAUCUUCCUUGCUGGGAGAGUGCUGUUUAUCGUGUUGAAUUAUGGCUUAUAAACUGAUUUUCUUCAUGGACUUUGGCAUGACGUCAAUUUUCAAGCUUCAAUUGCAACGGGUUUUCAUGUUUUCAUGGCACAAAAUAUUUUUGGCUUUCUCAGUUUGGACAAAAAUUAAAAAAUUUAAUUUUGAUCCACCAUUAUUGGAAAGGUUGUUUUUAUUUUUUAUGAAUAAAUGAAUUUUAUAUAUUGUAGAUUAGAAAUACUGCCCUUUUUGGUAUGUAAAGUUAACAAGUUUUUUGUUAUUCUCUUUCUGCUUUGCUGUUUGACAUUCUUAUACAAAUGGAUUUUUUCUUCCCUUGAUAGGUUUGAGUUGUCCAACUGAACGAAGUCGGUGAAGGAGAAAGUGUGCAGGAAGAAGUAGUUUGUAGAUUGUCUGUAGAUAACAUCAUUAUGGGUGAGGAGGAAUCAGCAAAUGUUGUUUCCAACACUGACUCAAAUGGCAAUUGCUUGCCAGGGAACGCUUUAAAUGGCGUGACUGAGAUGAAAGACCUAGAAGGUGAUCAAGGAAAAGCCUCUGGGGACAAUGGAGUCAAAGACAUAAAAGACAAAAGUAAAGUUGAUGAUGAGGAAGAAGUAAAAGAGGACAAGAAAGUUGAUUCAGUGGAAGGAAAAGAAGAGAAUAACAAAGAUGAUAAUGCAUCUGAGAAUGAAAAGCUGAAUGAAGAAAUAGGGACGAUAGUACUAUGUUUAUGUGUUUCACCUGAGUUAAUGCAUGUAAAUAAUAAUAGAAGAUAUUAUUGCAAAGCUGAUUGAUUUUUUCGUUGUCCCUCAAGCGACAACAACUGUUCUUCU
rnacentral:lncRNA from 1 species